rnacentral:rRNA from 1 species
AGAAUCAACGCUGGCGGCGUGCCUAACACAUGCAAGUCGCACGAGAAAGGGGAGCAAUCCCUGAGUACAGUGGCGCACGGGUGAGUAACACGUGAAUAAUCUACCUCCGAGUGGGGAAUAACUGAGAGAAAUCUUAGCUAAUACCGCAUAACACUUACGAGUCAAAGCAGCAAUGUGCUUGGAGAGGAGUUCGCGGCAGAUUAGUUAGUUGGCGGGGUAAUGGCCCACCAAGACGAUGAUCUGUAUCCGGCCUGAGAGGGCGCACGGACACACUGGAACUGAAACACGGUCCAGACUCCUACGGGAGGCAGCAGUGGGGAAUUUGCGCAAUGGGGGAAACCCUGACGCAGCAACGCCGCGUGGAGGAUGAAGCCCCUUGGGGUGUAAACUCCUUUCGAUCGGGAAGAUAAUGACGGUACCGAUAUAAGAAGCACCGGCUAACUUCGCGCCAGCAGCCGC